CUCUGUGACUCCUACGGGGAGGCAGCAGUGGGGAAUAUUGCACAAUGGGGGAAACCCUGAUGCAGCCAUGCCGCGUGUGUGAAGAAGGCCUUCGGGUUGUAAAGCACUUUCAGUAGGGAGGAAGGUAGUGUAGUUAACACCUGCAUUAUUUGACGUUACCUACAGAAGAAGCACCGGCUAACUCCGUGCCAGCAGCCGCGGUAAUACGGAGGGGUGCGAGCGUUAAUCGGAAUUACUGGGCGUAAAGCGCAUGCAGGCGGCCUGUUAAGUCAGAUGUGAAAGCCCGGGGCUUAACCUCGGAAUUGCAUUUGAAACUGGCAGGCUAGAGUCUUGUAGAGGGGGGUAGGAAUUUCAGGUGUAGCGGUGAAAUGCGUAGAGAUCUGAAGGAAUACCAGUGGCGAAGGCGGCCCCCUGGACAAAGACUGACGCUCAGAUGCGAAAGCGUGGGGAGCAAACAGGAUUAGAUACCCUGUAG
rnacentral:rRNA from 1 species